rnacentral:rRNA from 1 species
GAUGAACGCUGGCGGCGUGCUUAACACAUGCAAGUCGAACGAUGAAGCCCAGCUUGCUGGGUGGAUUAGUGGCGAACGGGUGAGUAACACGUGAGUAACCUGCCCUUAACUCUGGGAUAAGCCUGGGAAACUGGGUCUAAUACCGGAUAGGAGCGUCCACCGCAUGGUGGGUGUUGGAAAGCUUUAUCGGUUUUGGAUAGACUCGCGGCCUAUCAGCUUGUUGGUGAGGUAAUGGCGCACCAAGGCUACGACGGGCAGCCGGCCUGAGAAGGUGACCGGCCACACUGGGACUGGGAAACGGGCCAGAUGCCUACGGGAGGCAGCAGUGGGGAAUAGUGAACAAUGGGCGAAAGCCUGAUGCAGCGACGCCGCGUGAGGGAUGACGGCCUUCGGGUUGUAAACCGCUUUCAGUAGGGAAGAAGCGAAAGUGACGGUACCUGCAGAAGAAGCACCGGCUAACUACGUGCCAGCCGCCGCCGUAA